rfam:Parcubacteria bacterium GW2011_GWC1_39_29 TT43_C0004, whole genome shotgun sequence.
GGGCCUAUGGUCUAGUGGUAGAACACGUCAUUCGCAUUGACGAGACGGCGGUUCGAUUCCGCCUAGGUCCA